CCCGGACCUCUAGGAGCCCAGUCUGGCGCUAGACCUGCAGGCCUUUCUCCCGAGGCAUCAGUGCGGCGUGUCCUGCUGCUGUGCGCUGAGAUCUUCCCAUCAGAGGCCUCCGGGUGGUGUGAUCACUGCGCUCCAGGGAGAAGCUUCCCUUCACAGCCCACUGUGGCCUGGAACAUCCUUUGGGAGGAGUUUCAAGCAAACCCUGGUUUGGGCCUGCAUGGUCACCAGAAGGAGGAGACAGAGAGAAAGAGCAAACAAGUCACCAGAACUAAGACUUGAACCACAGUUGGCCAUGCGGGAGUCCAGUGCCCUAACCACCACGCCACCCAUUGGACAUCGAAGUCAGCAUUCUACAGGUACUGAGUUCAACUUGGGGAAGAUGAAAACUGCCGGAGACCUGCUCCAGCCGAGGUUCAGCACCAACCACAGUAGCACACACUGGACAGUGCUGCUUGGCCAUGUGGGAGUCCUGAGUUCCCAAGUUCAGGUUCCGGUUCACCCUGAAAGGUCAGUGUGAUGAUAAACAACUGUGGUCUCAGCUACUCGGGAAGUUAAAGUGGAGGGAUCACAACACACUGACACCCUGUUGAACAUACCACAGACACAUCACCACAGACAAACACAGAUUUCACUGGUAAACACUCUCAUGUCUAUUUCACCAGACAUAAAAAGAGUGAAGGACUCGUGCAUGUCACGACACGGACAAACCACAGAAACAACAGAAGUGAAUGAGGCAGGGCACCAAAGGCCACACAGUGUGUGAGCCCAUGUAUGUGGACCAUCCAGGACAGGUGGGUCCAGAGACAGAAAGCACAGUGGGCAGGGCUGGGGUGGGGAAGUAACUCUUCGAGGUUGCCAAGUUUCCUUUCAGGUCAUCAGAAUGCUCCAAAGUCCACAGACGGUUACCCCACGCUGCUGAUGUGGUCAACUCCUUACAGAAGGCUAGUGUGGUGACGGUUACAUCAUGUGAAUUUACGUAUUAAACAAAUAAAACAUACAGGCCAUCAGGGCUGAUGCAGGAUGAGGCUCACUGGCUGACUGCGGCGGGGACUCGCUCAGCCUGUCCUUUGGGAUGGAUCACAUGCAGGGGCCAUCUCCUGGCAUUCCUUGCCUAGUGAGACCAUGGUGGCUGUAUGGGUGGGAGAUUACCACGAGGAGUGCCUUGGAGUUAUG